AUACGUAGGGUGCAAGCGUUGUCCGGAAUUAUUGGGCGUAAAGAGCUCGUAGGCGGCUUGUCGCGUCUGCUGUGAAAUCCCGAGGCUCAACCUCGGGCCUGCAGUGGGUACGGGCAGGCUAGAGUGCGGUAGGGGAGAUUGGAAUUCCUGGUGUAGCGGUGGAAUGCGCAGAUAUCAGGAGGAACACCGAUGGCGAAGGCAGAUCUCUGGGCCGCUACUGACGCUGAGGAGACGAAAGCAUGGGGAGC
rnacentral:rRNA from 1 species